AGUCUGUUAUAGUGUGAUCUCUUCUGUGUAUGCAUGUACGUGUGUGUAAUGCAUAUGUGCACACGCAUGCAUGCAUGCCUUCGUUGAGUUUCUAUUCCGAACUAAGGAAAUGCAAGCAAUAUAUUGUUUUACUUAUUUUAUGGCAGGGCUUAAGACAAGGUCUCGCUAUGUUGCCCAGGCUGAUCUUGAACUCCUGGGUUCAAGUAAUCCUCCCACCUCAGCCUCCCAAAGUGCUGGGAUUACAGGCAUGAGCCACUGUGCCAGGCCUCAUAUUUUACGUAUAAAGUAAACUAUUGAGACUCAUGUGAUCAUUCCUCUCACUGUCAAUGACAUACUUCUGCUAUCUGAAUUAGUGCAAGAUCAGUCCCUAUAGGUUUUGUUUAACAAAUGCAGUAAGAGGCCUUUCAGUGUGUUAGCUGGGCCUGGGGCCCCAGGCUGCUAACAGAUGAGAUGAACAGGUGAAGGAAAAGGAACUUAGAGAAAGAGAGGGAAGGAGCAGGUGGAGGGAAGGGGAGAGUUGCUGCACUUGGAAAUGCUUGCUGGAAGGGAUUGCCUCUUUUCCAGGUAGAGGCUGUAAGGGAAGCUUUACCUAGAAUUAAGGUUGGAACGGACACUGCUUCCAAAUAAUUCCUUGCUCACUAUUUUCC
rnacentral:lncRNA from 1 species